GAGCGGAUCUUCCUUAGCUUGCUUUUGAAGAUCAGCGGCAGACGGGUGAGUAACACGUGGGCAACCUGCCUGUAAGACUGGGAUAACUUCGGGAAACCGGAGCUAAUACCGGAUAAUCCUUUCCCUCUCAUGAGGGAAAGCUGAAAGACGGUUUCGGCUGUCACUUACAGAUGGGCCCGCGGCGCAUUAGCUAGUUGGUGAGGUAACGGCUCACCAAGGCAACGAUGCGUAGCCGACCUGAGAGGGUGAUCGGCCACACUGGGACUGAGACACGGCCCAGACUCCUACGGGAGGCAGCAGUAGGGAAUCUUCCGCAAUGGACGAAAGUCUGACGGAGCAACGCCGCGUGAACGAUGAAGGCCUUCGGGUCGUAAAGUUCUGUUGUCAGGGAAGAACAAGUAUCGGAGUAACUGCCGGUACCUUGACGGUACCUGACCAGAAAGCCACGGCUAACUACGUGCCAGCAGCCGCGGUAAUACGUAGGUGGCAAGCGUUGUCCGGAAUUAUUGGGCGUAAAGCGCGCGCAGGCGGUUCCUUAAGUCUGAUGUGAAAGCCCCCGGCUCAACCGGGGAGGGUCAUUGGAAACUGGGGAACUUGAGUGCAGAAGAGGAGAGCGGAAUUCCACGUGUAGCGGUGAAAUGCGUAGAGAUGUGGAGGAACACCAGUGGCGAAGGCGGCUCUCUGGUCUGUAACUGACGCUGAGGCGCGAAAGCGUGGGGAGCGAACAGGAUUAGAUACCCUGGUAGUCCACGCCGUAAACGAUGAGUGCUAAGUGUUAGAGGGUUUCCGCCCUUUAG
rnacentral:rRNA from 1 species